GAGCAGUGCUUGAAGUGUGCUAACUAAAGAGCUGGAGUGUAGUGACUCACCGGCCGAGCCCCCUGAUACUGGAGCGGCAGGGGCUGCGUCGUCGACUGCCCGAUGUCCAGGGAGAGCGACUCCCGCCGAUACCUCGCCAACCGGGGAGCCAAACUGGUGCCUUGCCCGUGUCGAUAUGGAACGGCUCCGUAACCUGGAAAGAGGAGAAGAGGUCCUGGGUAGGGUGCACUGAGUACUCGCUUCCCC